UUUUAUAUCGCAGAAAGAAAAUUUUGAAUAUUUUAAGGAACAAAAAUUUAAAGUUUUCUUCUUACAUCAUUGUCAAUCAUAAGAAAUGAAAUUUUUUAAUAUUUUGCAAGAACAAAGGUUUAAGAGGUUUUCUUAAAUUUACUAUUUUCAUUUCCCUCUAAGAAAUUUCAAAGAACUAACCCAGUUUUCAAACCUUGCUCGCGAUAAAUCCUGGACAGGUGACCCAUUACCUUCUCGUACCAUCGUGGGACUAUAUUUUAUUACGCAAUAAAAUAUGGACCCCUCGAGUGCUUUUCCAUUUAUCGCGCUGACGAUCACGAGAGCCUACCAACCCUGCAUCACUAAAUCACUCUACCACUCUACUUUGAUUUUCCAAUUUUGCAAACUUGGAAUUUUUUUUUUCCAUUUCUUAUUGCAUUUAUCACUGAAAAAAAUACUGUGUGAAAUGAAAUAAUUUCAGGUAUCAUUAUAGAAGAAUAAUAAAAUCGUGGCUCGUUCGCGUUGAUAAAUGCCGGAUCAAAAGGAGAAGAAAUCGUCACAGUUCAACGAAGGAAUAAAUGGCGCGCGUUCAACUGGGAAAUUCUCUCGUAUUCCGCGACUUCGACCAAUGAGAGAAACGUAUGAGCGGAGAUAAGAGAAGACGUGUCGUGACUGAGGAUUGAGGUUAUCCUGGAAAAGUAAACAAACAACUCGAAAGAUCUUGAAAUAUAUAUUUAUACGUAUCAUAAGAUUCUUUACGUGAGCCUUGAUUUAUCUUUUCGAGAGCUUUGAGAGCGGAAAGGUUCGAGAAAUGCGUCCUCCUGUACGAUAGAAAGCAGGAGACAGAGGGGAGAAGGGUUGCACGUCACGAUAUGAGAUACUUUUACGAGCGGUGCAGGAUUUUUCGCGGGAUAUGCUCGCCAAAAUCGGUGCGCAAAACUCGGUCAGAUUUUAUGCGUUUCUGGGCAUCACGGUACUGUGAUUGGUUUAGUUACUUGUCAACGAAGGAACUGAGAUCGUUUGACAGUGGAUUUCUUAAGAAAUAAUCGAAUAAGGAGAGUUAUCAAAUUCUAAGCACGAUUCGAGUCGAUUGAAUCGAAGGAGGUGGGAAGCCUGUUGAGCUAUCAUCGAGGUGACCCGUAUAUCUCCAAUCCGGCGACUCCUUUCUUGUCACCGGCUCUCAGGCUGAAUCUAGUUCCUCUGAGGAUCCAUUUGCAAGAGAGAUGUACCAGAGCUAAGGGGAAGCCAAUACGAGAGAUACCAUGCGAUCAGUGGCCUAUCAACCAGAGUGCUUUUGCAGCUUCCCUUUCCUCGAAGAAAAAGAAAAUCAUUGGUGGAAUGACGUUUGAUCGUAUCGAGAUCCUCGGAUAAAUCUCUCCUCCUGGAAUUUCUGCUAUUAUUUGGCUUCCAUUCUUUCAUACCAAUUACCUAUUCUUUCUCUUCAGUGAUUAAUAAAUCACUGAAUUAAUGCAAACAUAUAUAUUUUUUAGUGAGAUGAUAUUGUUAAUUGUCAAAUUGCGAUAAAAAAUUAUA